GUGCAGGAAGCGGACCUCCAGGGGGAUGAGGCCGUCCUGUAGAGUCAGGGUCUGCACCAUCUCAUGGCGCUGCCAGUCCCACACAUAAUUCUUACUCCAGAGGCUGCCGGGUGCUCAGGGAAAGCUGUCCCAAUCCAGGUUGCAGGUGGAGGGAGUCCAGGGUCAGGAUUCAGGCUGAUAACUGAGAAGCACCCAUGGGGCUUCUUGGGUGGCACAGUGGUUGAGAAUCCGCCUGCCAAUGCAGGGGACACAGGUUCGAGCCUGGUCCGGUAAGAUCCCACAUGCUGCGGAGCAACUAAGCCCGUGCACCACAACUACUGAGCCCACGUGCCACAACUACUGAAGCCCGCCAGCCUAGAGCCUGUGGUCUGCAACAAGAGAAGCCACCGCAAUGAGAAGCCCGUGCACCACAACAAAGAGUAGCCCCCACAACUAGAGAAAG